UAAAAUCAGAAUGCGAGUCAUAGACAGUGACAGUAUGUCGCACAAAGUCGACUUCUACUGCCACCCAAUGGGACUGUCGAACAUUAUACGGGAGAUAGACCUUGCGCACUUUCGUCCAUGCUUGCGCAUACCCAUGGUGCCAUGACCCAUUGACAAAGUGGUGUACAUUUUUGAGGUAGUUAGGUGGAGGGUCAACGGUCGUUGAAGCAUAUUGUUUCCUCGUGACUCGUUUGCCACUUGGCAUUGCAAACGGCUGUAAAAAUUGCUGCAACCAAGUGUGAAAGACACGUUACAUAAACCCGAACCAAAGCACCAAAAGGAGAGAUCUACAUGACUCCUACCAAUGCAAGAACUGCAGUGACACAUAAUAUGGAUACAAUCAUACCUGCAGACAAAACUCGGCAGUUGUCCACUCCCUUCCAAAUAGUUGAGGAUGAGAGAGUUGUCUUUUGCGUAUUAGAAACAUAGCCAUGUCAAGGUGCUGCUAUUUCAGAACACAACAACGGUGUCAAGAUGACAACAAAUGACACAUAGUCAAUGUCAUCAAAUAAGAGAUUGAUCGAAAUAAAGCCGGGUUCAAAUUGUUACCCUCGAGCUCAUCCAUGCAGUUUCAUCUAUCAGUUUGUAAAAAAAAUCUGCCCCAACUUCAAAUGGUUCGAGCUCCAACUCCGCACUACAAAAACAACACUUGCAAAGGUAAAUUGAAAUAUAAUAGACAAGUGGAACACCUUGUAUAAUAUGACAAUGACACACACAUGUAUAGUAUAGCUGCGUAUAAAUUGUUUGCAUACAUCAAAAAACAAGUAUAUUGGUUUUGCCAAGAUACAAAUCCUAACCUGAUAUCAGUUUUCCAAGCCCUGCAAACUUGUAUGAU
rnacentral:lncRNA from 1 species